rnacentral:rRNA from 1 species
UGCGUAGGCGGAAUAUUAAGUCAGUGGUGAAAUCCUGCGGCUCAACCGUAGAACUGCCAUUGAUACUGAUAUUCUUGAAUGUAGUUGAGGUAGGCGGAAUGUGUAAUGUAGCGGUGAAAUGCUUAGAUAUUACACAGAACACCGAUUGCGAAGGCAGCUUACUAAACUAUGAUUGACGCUGAGGCACGAAAGCGUGGGGAGCGAACAGGAUUAGAUACCAUGGUAGUCC